rnacentral:rRNA from 1 species
AGUGAACGCUGGCGGUAGGCCUAACACAUGCCGGUCGAACGGCAGCACAGUAAGAGCUUGCUCUUACGGGUGGCGAGUGGCGGACGGGUGAGGAAUACAUCGGAAUCUACUUUUUCGUGGGGGAUAACGUAGGGAAACUUCCGCUAAUACCGCAUACGACCUACGGGUGAAAGCAGGGGAUCUUCGCACCUUGCGCGAUUGAAUGAGCCGAUGUCGGAUUAGCUAGUUGGCGGGGUAAAGGCCCACCAAGGCGACGAUACGUAGCUGGUCUGAGAGGAUGAUCAGCCACACUGGAACUGAGACACGGUCCAGACUCCUACGGGAGGCAGCAGUGGGGAAUAUUGGACAAUGGGCGCAAGCCUGAUCCAGCCAUACCGCGUGGGUGAAGAAGGCCUUCGGGUCGUAAAGCCCUGUUGUUGGGAAAGAAAAGCAGCAGGUUAAUACCCCGCUGUUCUGACGGUACCCAAAGAAUAAGCACCGGCUAACUUCGUG